rnacentral:rRNA from 1 species
GAUGAACGCUGGCGGCGUGCCUAAUACAUGCAAGUCGAGCGAACAGACGAGGAGCUUGCUCCUCUGACGUUAGCGGCGGACGGGUGAGUAACACGUGGAUAACCUACCUAUAAGACUGGGAUAACUUCGGGAAACCGGAGCUAAUACCGGAUAAUAUAUUGAACCGCAUUGUUCAAUAGUGAAAGACGGUUUUGCUGUCACUUAUAGAUGGAUCCGCGCCGCAUUAGCUAGUUGGUAAGGUAACGGCUUACCAAGGCAACGAUGCGUAGCCGACCUGAGAGGGUGAUAGGCCACACUGGAACUGAGACACGGUCCAGACUCCUACGGGAGGCAGCAGUAGGGAAUCUUCCGCAAAGGGCGAAAGCCUGACGGAGCAACGCCGCGUGAGUGAUGAAGGUCUUCGGAUCGUAAAACUCUGUUAUUAGGGAAGAACAAAUGUGUAAGUAACUAUGCACGUCUUGACGGUACCUAAUCAGAAAGCCACGGCUAACUACGUG